rnacentral:rRNA from 1 species
UACGUAGGGGGCAAGCGUUGUCCGGAAUCAUUGGGCGUAAAGAGCGCGUAGGCGGCCCUGUAAGUCCGCUGUGAAAGUCAAGGGCUCAACCCUUGGAUGCCGGUGGAUACUGCAGGGCUAGAGUCCGGAAGAGGCGAGUGGAAUUCCCAGUGUAGCGGUUAAAUGCGUAGAUAUUGGGAGGAACACCAGUGGCGAAGGCGGCUCACUGGACCGGUACUGACGCUGAUGCGCGAAAGCGUGGGGAGCAAACAGG